rnacentral:rRNA from 1 species
AGCGAACGCUGGCGGCAGGCCUAACACAUGCAAGUCGAACGAACCCUUCGGGGUUAGUGGCGGACGGGUGAGUAACACGUGGGAACGUGCCUUUAGGUUCGGAAUAACUCAGGGAAACUUGUGCUAAUACCGAAUGUGCCCUUCGGGGGAAAGAUUUAUCGCCUUUAGAGCGGCCCGCGUCUGAUUAGCUAGUUGGUGAGGUAAAGGCUCACCAAGGCUACGAUCAGUAGCUGGUCUGAGAGGAUGACCAGCCACAUUGGGACUGAGACACGGCCCAAACUCCUACGGGAGGCAGCAGUGGGGAAUCUUGCGCAAUGGGCGAAAGCCUGACGCAGCCAUGCCGCGUGGAUGAUGAAGGUCUAAGGAUUGUAAAAUCCUUUCACCGGUGAAGAUAAUGACUGUAGCCGGAGAAGAGGCCCCGGCUAACUCCGUGCCAGCAGCCGCAGUAACAC